AAAGGGUUACUCUUGUCGGGGUUCAGUUUACAUGGACGUAGUGUCCCAAGAUGUGUGGAGCAGUGAAUACAUGUCAAUCAGUGCUUCUAAGGAGAGUGUUGAUUGGAAUAGACUCAGAUCUAUACACUGUGAAGUCCAAGGUGCUUCAUUCUAUGUGUGGUGAAGGGCUUCCCUAAAUCCACUGGGUGGUGAUGGAGAGAUGAUAUAAGAAGGGGAGGUUAAUUGUGAAGAGGAAAGAAGAGGAAAGGGAAUAAAUAGCAGGAGAGUCCCUGGGGCACAGACACCAUGGGAGGAGAACCACAAGGAGCCUCUGUAACACUUGAUUUCACACUCUAGUGAAGAGAAGCAAGUACUUCAAUCUGCUUCAUUGCCCCAUUUUGCUGGAGCAUUAAUUGCUUCACAGAAUGAAAACAGAAAAACCACAAAUUGGCAUUUUUGGAAACCACUGAAGUGAACUUUGCCUCCCGUAGAGAUGUGGAGGGAACUGGGAAGGAUUCGCUGAGUAAACGGACCUGUAGUCAGAUGUUUGCAGCCGCUUCUAUUCUCAGCUUGCCUGGGAAAAUGAAGAAAGCAAGAAACAGCUACCCAGUACUCAGCUCCAACAGAGAACACACAAAGGCAAAGCUUGUCAUGUGGAUUUCUCCUGGAUCAAAAGAAACAUUUUCUGUCAUACAAGGAGUAAAAUUGAACCUUGUCCUUUUUCGCUUUGCAAAAUAAACUGACUUGUUAGUCUGCAAUCCUAUCAUUAG
rnacentral:lncRNA from 1 species